UAAUAAUUUUAAUAAAUCUAUAAAGUUUUAUUUUGGCUUAAAAAAUUUAUUAUUAAUUUAUAUUAUAUGUAAAUUUUUGUGUGAUUAUUUAUUUACUUUAAAAGUAUUUAUUAUAUUUAAUAAAUUUAUAUUUAUAUUUGCAGUAAUUAAUAUUAUUAAUUAAAGAAAUUUAGAAAUAGAAAUAUUAAUUAAUAUUAACUUAAUUUGUGCCAGCAGUUGCGGUUAAACAAAUAAUAUAAGUAAAUUAUAUCAAUUAAAGUUAAAUAUUUUUAUGAAAAUAAAAAAUAAUUUAUUAAGUGAAAUUUUUAUUUUAUUUAUGAUUUUUUAAAUAAAAAAUGAUUGAAGCUAAAAAAUUUUAAUUAAAAACUAGGAUUAGAUACCCUAUUAUUUAAAAUGUAAUUAAAUUUAUUUGAGUAGUAUUAGUUAUGUUCUUGAAACUUAAAAAAUUUGGCGGUAUUUUAGUCUAUUCAGAGGAACUUGUUUUAUAAUCGAUAAUCCACGAUGUACCUUACUUAAAAUUGUAAUUCAAUUUAUAUAUCGUUGUUAUUAGAAUAUUUUAUAAGAAUAAUAAUUUUCUAUAAUUUAUAUUAAAAUUAAUAUCAAAUCAAGGUGUAGUUUAUUUUUAAGUAUAAAUGAGUUACAAUAAAAUUUAUUUAUAUGAAUUUAAAUAUGAAAAAUUUAAUGAAAGUGGAUUUGAUAGUAAAAUUAUAAAGAUAAAUAAUUUGAUUUUAGCUCUAAAAUAUGUACAUAUCGCCCGUCGCUCUUAUUACUAAAAUAAGAUAAGUCGUAACAUAGUAGAUGUACUGGAAAGUGUAUCUAGAA
rnacentral:ncRNA from 1 species